UCGGCCAUGCCGUGGCAGGUUGGAGGACGCCGAUUAGUUGCGAUGGAGUAUAUGCAAAUCAAGCUUUUACAAAAACGACUAAUAGUCGUUUUUCUAUAAACGCAGAUUUUGAGGUUUCUGAAAACCAAGUAUUCCAAAAACGCAAAUUAGUUAGAGCAUCCAAACGAGAUUUUAUUCUGUUAGCCUCUGUUCCUGGUUUAUAGAGAAUUCGUUUUCUAUGUACCACCUAUCCAAACAACCCCUAAAAUAUGUUGCUAAAAUGUGUUUUUGUGUGACCAAACCAUUCAGAUUCAGUGCUGUAGAAAUCUCAAUGAGGAGUCGAAUGUGCAGUCCAUCAACAUCGCUGUCACAAACUCUGAACAUGCUGGUACCAUCAACAACAAAAUUUGUGUGUAUUCCUCAUUUUUCAAGUCAUCGUGGAUUCCUUCUGCAAGGGACAUUCGUCUUUAAUUUUGAGUAGUAUUUCAUCUCUAUACUUGCAAGCUCAUCCUUGCCAGUUUCAAUGCUGAAACAUUGAAAAAAAGUUGUUUUACACCCCCUCUGAACUUUCAAGCCCAUUCUUGUUAUUUUGAUAACAUAGCAACUUGCUGUUCUAUUGAUUGGCAUUUUCUUUUUGGAUAUCCAACAAACUUGAUUAUUUCUUCUAGUAUUUGAUAAUAUACUUGCAGGUACAAGGUCUUCACGACUUUCUUAACUCGGUGUAUUUGUUUUGUGAAGAGAGGUGGUGAUGCUACAUGGUCAGUGAUGGGUGCUAGGAGAAGUGCAACUCUACCAACAGAGAAAAUCUACUCUUCACACCAUGACGGGUAGUUGGAUCCAAAGCACAGAGAAUCAAGAGGUGGUGAUGCUACAUGGUCAGUGAUGGGUGCUAGGAGAAGUGCAACUCUACCAACAGAGAAAAUCUACUCUUCACAAAGGCCAUGACGGGUAGUUGGAUCCAAAGCACAGAGAAUCAAGAUUUAUUUUCUUGGAGCUCCUGUGUCGGAGCUGAUACUAUUGUGUUACGUUGAAGUUUUAUCAUACUAACCCAUGUUAAUACAUUCAUUUCUGCUACAUCAACGUAAUUUUGGAAUGCAUAGCUCCUGAGUGCCGAACGCAUGAGGUUGAAUUUGGUUACCCACAACAUGAUUUGGUCUUCUUAUUGAUAACAACAUGAACUUUCAGGAAAAAAAAUUAGUUCAUUUGUCUUUUCUUAUAGUGGACGUGAAAUCUUUCUUUGGCCUUUUUCCUGAGUGACUUUUGGGUUAUGUACAGAUUUGUAGUUUUUUCCCUGGUUCUAAUUUUGUGUUAGAUGCCUUUUUCCUGAGUAACUUUAUUUUUAUCUUACUUUGUUUGUGAGGUACUAUUUCUUUGUGGGAGGUAUGCUUGUAUUCAAAUCACAAAAUAAUACAAAGUUCUUGACCCAUACAAGCAUACCCUAACACAAGCACAUAUAACUAAUUUUGUGUCAUAGGUUUUGACAGCAAAAUCUCCGUGGAAUGUACAAUGUAACUUUUCAUAAUAAUUAUUCCAUGCAUCCUUGGUACCUUAGCAUCCUUCUGGAGUUGAGAUUUGAUUUCCUGGUGGUUUCAGAGGUGGUGAUGCUACAUGGUCAGUGAUGGGUGCUAGGAGAAGUGCAACUCUACCAACAGAGAAAAUCUAC